CAAUAAGCAAAUUCCCAGCCCAAUCAAGAAAUCCAUCCAUACUUAGUUGAAAAUCAGGCCAAAUUGUCAAAGUGGCCCAAGUUGUAAAGUUUUAUUUUUAUUUUUAUUUUUAUUUAUUUAUUUAUUUAUUUACUUAUUUUAAAUUUUUAUGUCAAUAUUCAGUCCAAGAGUCCCAGAUAAAAUGACCUUUGACCGAAUUUCCAUAUUAAAAUAAUUAGGAGUUUUUUUUAUUUUAGUUUUCUAAUUAGAUUAGCAC
rnacentral:lncRNA from 1 species